ensembl:lncRNA
GCAGAGUUCUGCUCUGCGGUAUCAAGGUAUUAGGUCUCAGGUAUUCACAUCCAUGCUUCAGAUCUUUCUUCACCUUGCAGCUUUAACAGAUCAUAAGUAGAAACCUCUGUUUAUUAUAGAAUCAUAGACUGUCUUGGGCUGGAAGGGACACUAAAGAUCAUCUAAUUCCAACCUUCUUGUUGAGAACAAAUUGCUGCAGACUGCAAAAAGGAGAGAUUCUCUUGGAAUUCCUCAAGCAUAUUGCUGGGAUGGUCAUGGGAACAAAGUCAUCUCUGCCAUAUAAGCAGUCAUACAAAGUCCCAGAGCAAGAUUUUCAUCAAUGGGCUGGACAGAAGCACAUCUGGCUGGUGGUUACACUUCAAGGUAUGAUUCACAGUGGUAUCCCCAAUCUGCCAUCCAAAGGAUGACUUUAUUCCCCAUCAGUCAUGAAAUACGUUCCUUUAUUUCAAUAGAAAUUUCCUUAAUGAUUGCUACUUUCUUUAAUUUGAUUUUAAAUUUUAUUCACUGGGGGCUAAGAAUCUACCAAAAAAAAAAAAGAAAAGAAAAAAAAAAAAAAAAAAAAAAGAUGGACUUUGUUCAGUGUGAUAUCUUUGUUCUGUGUUCUCUUUUGUGGUCAUAAUUACAGAUCUGAUUCCUGUUCCUUUGUAUACUAUAGAAAGAUUGUCUGGUAGAAGGAUAAUGCAUUCUACUCUUGUGAAAUUCAUGGUUCUUAGUUCUCAUUUCCUGCAUUGCUUGCAAUUAGGAGACAUUCAGUGACAAACUUUGUGAUUUUAAGGCCAGAAGAAACUAUUGGAACAUUUGGUCUGACUUUCCCACCACUGCAGGCCAAGCGAUAGACUCAUAGCAAUCCUUCCAAGACAGCUUUCCCACAAAAAGCAUUAAUACAGCAUCUAAAGCCAUGAGGAUACCAUAUCUGCUUUUCUCUUUCAACCAAAAUAUUCUCACCACUACAGCUAUGAAUAUAAGGCACCAGCUUUUGCUGUUUGGUUCUGCUUCUCCUCUCUCUGAUGCAUUAUACCUUCACAUCACAUCCCACAUUUCCUUCCUCCGAAGGGCAUUAUCUUUCACAGAGUCAUUUCUUUAAAUUUUCACAGUUCUAAAUCUCAACUAGAAGGAUUUUUCUCCAACCCUUGUAAGCUUUAUGGCACUUUCCCCUCUUACAAGGUAAUUAAAUUGUUUGUGUAAACAGACUGAAUCCCCUGCUUUACUUUCUAUGCAAAUCAGAGCUCUACCACGAUGGAUUUCAUAUUCAGGCUUUCCACUGAAUCCAUCACACAGCUUCUGACCUGGAAGCUGCAUUGCCUUCCUUCUCCAAAGCAGUUGCUACACAACUGCUGUUGCAGCAUUACGCAUUUGUACAUUUUCUUCACACAUCUGACAGGAAUUAGUUACAUCCAAAGAAACAAUAGCAUUUGAGGUAAGAAAGCCCACAAAAGUUAAGGAAAUAUGAAAUGUUUUAGGUAUUUUCUCAUGCAAGGCCCAGGUAAAUACGUUGGUGGAGUCUGAUCUCCUUUCCACUGGAUUUUAUGGAAAUUUAGAUCAACAAAUGUUUAUCUGCAUCAGGAGUCUGUGCUUGUAUUGGGCCUAACCCUGGAAAAAAGUCUGUUUAUGAUUAAAUAAAAACAUAAUUUAAUAUCAUUCUGUGUAGGUAGAAAUUAAAACACAUUUUUACUGAAAUACAUAAAGAUAAAGGGUGUUUGGAAACAAUCUGUCAUGAAAAUAGUUUUGUAUCAACUUUUUCUAAGAUUGUUAGUUGUAAACCCAGUCAUACUAGAUGAACAAGUUAGACAUCAUUGAUCUUGCAUCAGAAGUCUAUGGUAAAAGAAUGAUCAUCUAGAAUGUUUGUCAUGAUCAUUGUACAACGUGGGGCGACAGAAAACAAAUAGGUUUCUGGAUAAACAUGGGAAAUUGCUAAGUAGAUUAAAAUAGUGUUUUUAUUAUUAUUGGAGAAUUACAGCUGCAUCCAGUGUUGUCUGCUGAUACUGACAAAAUCAGAUUUGUAGGCAGAAGUAAUUCAUCAUUCUCCAUCCAUUGGUAUGUGUGUGAAAAACUGGUAGUCCUUUGAAUAGAAAAGAUCUAUUUUGAAGGAUGUCAUGUGCAUCCAGCAGCUUAUCUAUUUUCUAUGAAUAUGACAUCUGGAUAAAAUAAGUUUAUGACCUGUAUCCCUGUGGGAUGGAAGUUCCUCUAUAUUGGAUUUACGUCAUAAAGUUUCCUCAAAGAGAUCAGCUCCAAAUUUUAUCUAGAGAUAUAAAAAGAUUGGUAGUGAAGUGGUAUUAAGAACACUGGUGACUUAAGUGUAUUUAACUAUGUAAUAUGUAUUUUAAACAGCAAAGUUUAGGUGCACUUCAAUAAACUAAAAAGUGACUGCAAGAAUUAAAAUCUCACAUAAAAUGCAUUCUGAAUUUUUCAUUGGUGCUUACUAGUGCUAAAUGUCCACGAGUUCUUCCUCACCCACAAGAAAAUCUGUUGACUUUCAAUAAAGUCUUGAUCAAUGAAUUCAAAGACUAAUUGUGAAUCUGAAUUCAAAGACCAAUUGUGAGAAAUCCAAGACUCUUUGCUUGAUUACAGUGAAUUUAGCUAGAUUUAUCAGAUGCUGAAAUAGUCGUUAUCAAAAAGAAGUUGUAAAACAUUUUUAACUACAAGUUAUCAUCCAAAAUCUAACAUUUAUUUCUAGUCAUGGAUUUCCUACCACAGGACCAUGUAUUCCCACUUCCUAUGAAAAGAUACAAAUGAAACAGGAAAAAAAAAAAAAAAAAAAAAA